rnacentral:rRNA from 1 species
AAUUGCCUACGGGGGGCAGCAGUGAGGAAUAUUGGUCAAUGGGCGAGAGCCUGAACCGGCCAAGUCGCGUGAGGGAAGACGGUCCUAUGGAUUGUAAACCUCUUUUGCCGGGGGGCAAAAAGCGGUACGUGUACCGCAUCGAGAGUACCCGGAGAAAAAGCAUCGGCUAACUCCGUGCCAGCAGCCGCAGUAAUACGGAGGAUGCGAGCGUUAUCCGGAUUUAUUGGGUUUAAAGGGUGCGCAGGCGGCGAGUUAAGUCAGCGGGAAAAUUUCGGGGCUCAACCCCGACAAGCCGUUGAAACUGG